UUGCUCUUCUUGGAUGAGUUGCGAACGGGUGAGUAACGCGUAGGUAACCUGCCUUGUAGCGGGGGAUAACUAUUGGAAACGAUAGCUAAUACCGCAUAACAAUGGAUGACACAUGUCAUUUAUUUGAAAGGGGCAAUUGCUCCACUACAAGAUGGACCUGCGUUGUAUUAGCUAGUAGGUGAGGUAAUGGCUCACCUAGGCGACGAUACAUAGCCGGCCUGAGAGGGCGGACGGCCACAUUGGGACUGAGACACGGCCCAAACUCC
rnacentral:rRNA from 1 species